CGCCCAGCUAAUUGUUUGUAUUUUUAGUAUAGACGGAGAUUUCACCAUGUUAGCCAGGAUGGUCUCGAUUUCCUUACCUCAUGAUCCCCUGCCUCGGCCUCCCAAAGUGCUGGGAUUACAGGCGUGAACCAAGGCGCCCGGCCGGAGUAGGAAUUUUAUGGGUUAUAAACUAAGGAUAUGGAGGUCGACUUGAGGAAGAAACCUGGAGUAUAAAAAUUCAGUUUGGAAAAAGACGUUUUGUCUCUUAAACUGAAGCACAUUCCUGCCAUUCAUUCGGACCAUACGAAGAUAAAACUAAAAACUUUUCUCUAAAGCUCCUGGUGAUGGUAGUUGAGUCAAUGAGCCACCAGCAACAACAAAGGACAAAAAGGAUUGAUCUGAAAACUGGUGCAGAAUACCUAUACUUGAAGGAAAGUAAGUUUAUUAGUGGAACACAGGAUUUGGAAGAUAAUGAUGUUUA
rnacentral:lncRNA from 1 species